GGCAGCGACGAGGCGCACAAGUUCAUGGGGCGGCCGCGCCUGGACCGCGUCGACUUUGCCAGCAUGAUGAACCCCGGAUCGCGCCAGAUUUACCUCACCUUCCCGGCCGACAGCACGUUCCGCGAGGAGGACGUCUCCAACUACUUCAGGUAUAAUGCGAUGUUGCAAUGAUGUUUCUUCUUUCAUGGCGGACUCGGUAGAACGCGAUCUGAUUGGCAUGUUUGCUGUUCUUGGCAAUGCGCCCGCGCUGCAGCAUCUACGGUCCGGUGCACGACGUGCGCAUCCCGUACCAGCAGAAGCGCAUGUUCGGGUUCGUCACCUUCGUGUACCCUGAGACGGUGAAGCUGAUCUUGGCCAAGGGCAAUCCGCAUUUCAUCUGCGACGCCCGCGUGCUCGUCAAGCCUUACAAGGAGAAGGGCAAGGUCCCCGACAAGUACAGGCACGCUUGGAACACGCUCCGGCGUUUUAAUUCCGCAUCUUUAAACUGCAACUGUAUCCGUGCAUGCAGUUUUCCUGGUUGCUUAUAAUUUUUUUUCCACUCAUCUUGCAGGAAACAUCAAGGUGACUUCUCCGGCUGCACGACCCCCACUGGCCUGGACGGCAGAGACCCAUUCGAUCUGCAUCAGCUCGGUAAAAAUAUCCUAGCUCGCUCCGAUCGUUUGUGCUAGCUGUGGCAGCACAGCUGUAGUUCAUUGUUUCAUAGUGGAUACUGUUGCUGCAGCUGUAACGCAGCUGCAAGUCGCACAAACGAACAGCCUCAAUGCCUUCCUGCUUGAUCUUUGGUAUGGUGUAUUAGAGCGAUCUGCUGAUGUGAAGUUUGGUGCCUGGCAGGUGCGAGGAUGCUGCAGCACUCCAAUAGCACAAACGAGAUGAUGCUUCGUAGGAAACUGGAGGAGCAGCAGCAGGCUGCCGAGCUGCAACAGGCCAUCGAACUCCACAGUCGCCGUCUCAUGGACCUCCAGCUGCUCGACCUCAAGAAUAGAGCCGCAGCUGCUGUCACAACAGCAAUGGCGAUGACAAUUCCCACCGCCAAUGCCUUCGGUUCCAGUCAGCCUCUUGCCACCACCAUGGUCGAGUCACCGCCUGAUUCUGGUAUGUGUUACUUCGGUCGGUCUGCCUGUCAAGCAUUGUAAGACGAGUUCAUCCACUCAUUCGACACUACUGAUCCUUGUAAUUUCUUGGUCGUUUAUAGGCGAGCAGCUCAAGGGAACAGGUUACUUCACAGAAGAGAGGAAAAUGGUCAACGGAGGAGGUGAUAAGGAAGAAUCUGCUGGUGAGGCGAGCCUGAAUGCUGAUAGCGACCAAAGGUGGAUCUUACUAAACUACACUAGACAGACCAUCAUCAUCAUUCUGUUUGCUUAUUAUUCUUGCAGUUAGCUUUCAUGAUUUGAUGCACAUAGAAGCUGAAAAGGUUGGGCUGCUUCAGUGGCUCAUGGCUUUCAUUUGAUAUGGAUAUUCUGCAGCUUGGAGCACAAUUUGCCGGACAGCCCGUUUGCUUCGCCGACUAAGUCCUCUGUCUCAGCUCACCAAAGUUUCACCACCACUGAUACCGGUGUCGUCGCGACAAGUAGCUGCAGUGCAUCUCAUGUAGGCAUCAGCGCGGGCACUAAUGCUGGAGGUGGAAUCAACCAUCUGCGGCCCUCUACUUUGGAUAUACCUUCGCCAAGAGACUUCUUCUCGGUUUCCAGGUAUGGCAUGUACUGUGAUUAUAUUGAUGGAUCCGAUAUCUUGUGAUCGAUGCUUGAAAUGAUUUGGUGAACGCAAUAAGCAGGCUGGCCUCUGAUCACGGAGCGAUUGGGAUGUAAAGUUCUCUGCAAUGGAUGAGUGAAUCCCCCAGCCUAAUCAUAGUAAGCACUUAAUCCUUCCUUUAUUCCCACUAUGCUUCCAAAAUAAUAAGCCUUUCACCUUCUGAUUUUGCUGUCUUGUUUUCUUUCCGCUCCUUUUUUCUAUUUGUCUGUGACAGGAACACAAGAAGCAAAAGAAAAGCGAUAGUGGAAUAUAGGAGAAAAGGAGUGAAGUGUCAGCAUAGUGUUAGCUCCCUUGUUUAUUUCUUUUUGGUUGCCCUUUUUAGUGGGUAGCUCUAUUAAAACCACAAGUGAAGAUGCCAUUAGCCUUUGACUAGGAAAAAAAGCCAGUAGAUGCAGACAUGCAGUGUUGUGAGAUACUUAAUAUAUAUAAGCAAUCCAGUGUUACCCCCUUAUAAUAUUAGAUAUACUAGUAGUACUCAAUUACAACUGCCAUCAACAACAUAUAUAGUUGAUGUUUACCCAGUUGUUCAUCUAAGUUGUAGGCACUAACUGUGAAGUAACUAGUAAACAAGGCCAGUAACAGCUUCUAUAUAAGUCAGAUGUAACACAGGUGCAUCCUGCUAGCUUCAGGGGAUGCAAAUAUCAUGGACAAGUGCAAAUAAUCCCAGAAGAAGCCGGAGAAGGAUCACAUGGCCAUGGCAAGAAGUGGUCUGUGAAGUAUUUUUACCUGUGCUAGUACUAAAAUAUCUCUUUGGUUCUCCUACUUGGCCAUGUUGUUUGAUCAGGAGAGUGGCAAGAUCCCACUCACACCUCCUCGGUCAGCUGCCGACCAGCGUUAUUUGCGCCCCUCAGCAGAUGCAGGCCACUUGUACAAAGGACACCUUUUCUUUGUUCUUUGAACCUCCUUUUUAUUUUUUUUUUCAGAUCUUGCUGAAUGAAUCUGUAGAUUACUAUACCAUCUAUUACUGUAGCUGUCUAGUCAUUGCUCUAUAGAAAGAAAGUUAUCCCAACUAAUUUGUCAAUCUGUAAAAAUGAUAUUGGGCCCCAAGCCAAGGGUUGGAAUGAAUGGCGUCUUUUAAUUAAGCUGAUAGUUUCCCAUCCCUUCUGGUUACUGUGAUGCCAACUUGUGGCCCAAACUGGAGCGCCGCAAAAUCUUCCAAUCAAGCCGACAUGCAAAUACUCCAUGCAAUAAGCUAGGCAUGGACACCCUAUAACAAGGUAGGUAUGGUGAUCAACUUGAUGAUCGCUCGAUUUGUCUUGACUUUGCCUAUAAGUAAACGCUGCAACCUGCCUUGUCGUUUUGGGCGUGCACAUCGACGGAUACCUGAUGACCAUGAUGCCUCUCACUCAUCAAGUCUCUAUCGUCCGUUGCACCGCGAGAGAGAACAGCGUUACUACUAGUUGUACUACUACUACGUGCGGUAGAUCAAGGGUGGGCCGCAGGCCCAGAUACGCGAGGGGGUAAAAAGGGCGUUUGACAGAGAGCGAGAGGUGGUGGGCCCCAAGGUAAGGGCCCACAGUAGCAGGCCUCGUCACGCCCAUGUGGGCGACGCAGGCUGUGCGCCCCCAGGCUUUUAUCGAGUCCAACGGCGACAGUACGUGGCUUUGGCCCGUUCGCAGGCCAACCUGUCUGCGUGACUGUGUCUCUGUGCUACGGAGAGUGUACGGAAUGGUUGCAGCAGCAGCCACGAUGUAGCGCAAUUCCUCUUGUCGUAGACCUGCUAAACUAGCCGUGCUAGUACUUUGCUACUCCUACGUAGCUGUAGAGUGUAGGAGUACAGUUUCUCUUUUCCUUGUUUGAGAAAACGCUGUACUAGCUUCGUGAGCAAAAGGGCGCACAAGUCACAACAGUGCAUGCUCUUGAUUUCUAAAACAAUGAAAUAGAACUGCACGGUUGUUUUCGUUACUAGUAGUAGGCUCACACAAUCUCUCGCAUGCACAUGUAAUCCAAGGUUUGGUGCAAUCGGUAACGACGUCACCUAUACGGAGUCAAACCUGAAACCCCAAAGGACCAACACUUGAACAGAGACGCACCGCCCGGCAACAAUAACCUACCGACCUACGGAAUCAUGGACGCCGGCCGGCCACCCCACCAGUCCACCACACCCCACCCCCUUGUUCAUCCAUCAGGCAAUGCAUGCCGCCUACAGCGGACGCCGGGCCGGACGCGCGCACUGUGCAGCUUUUGUUACGUCCUUCCCUUCCCCCUUUGUUUUGUUGUGGCUGUGCGCGCGCCGCGCCCAGCGGAUGCAUGUGCGCCCCCGCCACCGCGCCCCGUUUGGGCCCCGUAGAUUGCCUCCGCGGCAGCGGAACGCUUCAAUGCGCGCCCCCUGCGCCUGCGGAUGUGCGCUGCCUGCGCGGCUGCGCCCCCGCUUGCCUCUCUGUUCAUGUUCAGUCCGUCAAGCCGACGCGCCGCCGGAGGCUUGGAGGCUGAGAGCGUGAGUUUUCUGUGGUGCGCGCGGGUGUGGCGUGAAAGUACAACGCAGACGCAGCCGUCUCGCAAAGUCGUAGUCGGAACUCGGAACCGAUCGGGCUAGCGCUACGUCCGGGCGGCUACACAUGCAUGAGAUACAUUAGACAUUGUGUUAGGGCAAGAUCAUUGUUUAAGAUGUAGUGCAACCUUAAGAGUGAGCUCAUAAAUAAUAAACUAUUAUGGAUUAUUUUAUAAGUACAAUCAAUAUUUUAAGGCUAUCUUUUUCAUACAUUGUGGGUGUCCUUAAGACACAUAGUACAAUAUGUACUACUACCCCGUCCCAAAAUAAGUGCAGCCGUAGAUAUCCGUGCCUAACGAUUGACCAUUCAUCUUAUUUAAAAAAAUUGUGAAAAUAUUUAGUCACAUAUAAAGUACUAUUUAUGUUUUAUCAUCUAAUAGCAAUAAAAAUACUAAUCAUAAAAAAUUUCAAAUAAAACGAACGGUUAAACGUUGAACGUGAAUAGUACAAAACUACUUAUUUUGGGACGGAGUGAGUACUACAUAUCUCGACGAGGGGUCCACCGGUUGGGGUUGUUUGGCGAGCGCUAUCGCUAUCAUAGCAAUUUGAUCAACUUCAAUUUCGGUGUGGGGAUGAAUAAUGACGUGUGUGUAGGGCUCUUUAGAAUGGAGGAAAUUUGUAGAAAAUUAGAGAUAUCUAGUGCGAAGGAACAAAACUUUCUAUAAGAGGUCUCAUUAGAUUCGUAGGAUAGAAGAAACUUUAGUAUGAUUUUCAAAUCCUACAAGAAUAAAAUAAAUACAGGAUAAUAUAAUAGGAGCGCAAUAGGAAAAACAAAGGAAAGUUUACAAACAGGUCGCACCUCUUGGUUGGUAUACAAAUUUUUCUUCCUUUUUAUGAAUUAGAGGGAUAUGUAGGAAAAAAUCAACAACAAUCUAAAUCCUACGAAAAUUCUUUACCCAUCCUAUGAAUUAAAGGAGCUCUUACACUGCUGGAGAAAGUGUCUUCACUCACGGUUCGUAAGCCCCUUAGUCCCGUUUAUGUAACUGGGACCUUGAAUCCGAGACUAAAGAUGGGUAUCUUUAGUUCCGGUUCGUGUUACGAACCACGACUAAGGAUCGGAACGCCACGUGGCCAAAGUUCUUCUCAUCUUCAGUUUUUUUACUACUUAUAUUGAUUUCAAACUGAUCUCUACAACAAAAUCAUUCCCAUUCACAAAACAUCACAAAAUCAUCUACAAAUUCACAGAUCGAAUGAAAAUACUCAAAUUGACAUCAUAAAUUCAUAGAUCUACAGUAUGAACAAAUUCACAAAUUUACAUCACAGUCCGCCACUGCUCUCCGCACAGCCCGCCGCCACCCCGCGCGGGCAGGCCGCUGACCGGCGCUAGCACGCUGCCCCUGGCGUGGGCCUCGGCCGCCGCCGCCUGGCGCCACGCUGGCCUCGGCCACCGCCCGCUGAGGAUGUUGGAAAAAAAGAGAGGAUGAGGAUGAGAGAGAGAGAGAGAGGAAAUGCAGAUACAGAUAUGAGGAGGAGUUUGUUUGGGGGGGGGGAGGAGAUGAGAAUAAGUGCUUGUUGUUAUCAACCGGGAAUAAAGAUAGUGGGACGUCUGACCUAUUUUGAACCGGGACUAAAGAUCGUAAAAUUAAACCGGGACUAAAUAUAUUUUUUAGUCCCGGUUCCUACUUGAACCGGGACUAAUGUGGAUUUUGCUUGACCCAUCGAAGAUCAGUUUUUCAGUAGUGUUAGAUGGUGAAAUUGUUCAGAGUAAUAUUACAGGAUAGUAAAAAAUCUUCCAAAUUUUAGAGGAAUUCUAAUAUGUGAUCUCACCUCGUGUUAACAGAAUUUAUUUGAGAAGCCCAAGCACUUUCUGUGUAUCUCUUCUUUCUAUCUAGUAAAUCAAUUAUAUAAAUAUUAAAUUUCAUGUGUUUUUCCUGUAAUUAUUAUGUAGAAUUAUUGUGGUUUUAGUUCCUGAUGUAUUCAUCAAGUCACGACACUUAAUACUUUGUUUUUGUUAUUUCUAUAUUUUUCGAUUCAUGCGUUCCAAAGAAAUCAUAAGUUGUGUGAAGUAUUCGCGAGGCAGGAUUUUGAGCGAAAUGAAAGGAAAACGAUAGGGGAGGAUAGUGUCCACUAAUCUUUUAGGAAAUGUACCGCACGGUUUACACAAAGGUUUGAAAUGUGAAUUUUAAAGUUUGAAUAUUUGUUUUGUAGCCGACUCUCGCUUGGUUGAACAUUUCUUAUAUAUAGGUGACUUGUACUUCUAGUAUUACAUGAUUAUAAUGAGAGAGAGGUGAACAUAUAAAUGGUUAACUCAAGAUUUUUUUUAUUUUCUUUUUUUUUUCACUAUCCCUCAAGUCCUUUAUGGGAUGAAGGGAAUACUCCUUCUGUUCCAAAAUAAUACGAGCUAGGAUACGACGAGACCCAUCAUAAUACAAUAAAUCUGCACAUAACUUUAUCCAUAUUAGAAUCAUAUCACAUCCUAGAUUAGCUAGAUUCGUUAUACUAUGAUGGAUCUCAUAUCAUUCUAGAUUAAAUUAUUUUGAGACGGAGAAAGUAUAUACUUCAUGUUUACGUGGAUUUCAGUGCCCUUACAAUAUUUCAAUGAAGUAUAGAAAAUGCGGUAGUGCGAAUAUAGCGUGUUUCGAUUAUGUGCUUACUAAAAAAACAAAUGACCUCGGCGCCAACCAAAUUCAACAGAUCCAAAAGCAGUACCCUCCGGUCAGUCAGUCAGUAAACGAAAUAGGCCUGCUUCCUGAAGACCAAACUGCCAAAGUCGGCCGAAACUUGCCCAUAAGUUUGACCUGUUUCCACCGACUUGUGUGAGCCGUAGUGUUCUGACACGGUCCAAAAGUUACCAAACAUGAUUAAAUUGUCAAUUUCCUUAUCCACAACAAAUUAAGCAGAGAGAACAUUAUUAAAAAAAUUAAUCAGAGAGAAAAAUGUUUGGAAAACUUGCUGCUCGUAUCCAAACAGCCCGGUGAAUUUAUCCACCAACCUGGCCUCUGGAGUAGCCUCGCCGCUUCCGAGGCAGGAUUCCAGAACCGGACGUGGGUGACCGUGCGCUGCGUGUUUGUUUCCGCGCAGCCACGGCGGACGCGCCGGAUUCCCUUCCCCUCCCCUGCACGGUGAUGGUUCCUUUUAUAUUUUCCUCGAGCCGCGGCCGGUUUCUUCGUGCGCCUCCUGCCUCCCCCUCCUUGUGUUGUUUUAGUUUUGCACACGACACGGAACGGAAGAACAAAGAUGCCACUGCUGCUCGUGCUCCUGUGUACUCCCUCCGUUCCAUUAAAAAAUCAAUCUAGUACUAAAUGUGACAUAUUCUAAAACUACGAAUUUGGAUAUAUAUGUGUUCAGAUUUAUAGUAGUAUCCGGUCCUAGAUUUUUUAUGAGAUGGAGGGAUUGGUGUGUAGUACUCCGCCUCGUGUGGCUCCCGCGUGUGUUCUCGUUGAUACGCUCUAAUCGCAUUGCUUGUGUUGGGUUCACCAGGGUUUCCUUACCAUCGGCGUGGGUUUACCGCACACUGCAUGGUUACUCGCAGUAAUUGUAUAAUAUUUUUUAAAAAUUUAAAUUACUUUUAAAAUUUAUUUCAGUUUAAUGAGCUUACCAUGGUUUAUCGUAACCGGCAGUAAACACGAUAACCACACGGUUAUCGUCAGUUUUGUAAACCAUGAGGUUGACACCCCCAACAAGCCUCACACGAACAUUUUCAUGUCCCGCGAGAUAGUCAAGGAUCAUAAUGGAUGUGCGCGUGCGUCGCAAGCGGGUAGUAUUGUGUAUCACAGCUCGCUUCAAGUUUUUUUCAAAAAAAAGAAACAUAAUACUAAUAAUACUAAUAAGAAGACAUGUCAACAUAUAUUUAUGAAGUCAUCAUGGGUGUGGCGAGGGUGUGGCGAGAUGUUGACUAAUACUAGAAGAACAAAUAGUCAUAUAUGUGAGUAAUAAUGUCAUGUCUAGAACUUGAAUCCACUAAGCUGAUUUUAUCAUAAGUAACAUAACCAAUCGAGCUAUACUCACUUCAUCAGCUAGCUUCAAGUUAACGCUCCCUCCUUUCCAUGAUAACUAUUACUAUCUUUUACCUCACUCAUCGUCCCAAAAAACUUUGAAGGCAAUGCAUUGUGAUUCGAUAAAAUUAGGUGAAAUAUGUUAACACUUGAAAAAAAUCAAGGACACAUAUAUUUAAUUUAGGCUUGAUAGAGUUAAGGAUAAAAUCAAGGAGUAAUUUGAUAAAGCAAAGGAUGUUUUAGUCUUUUAAACUUUGUAGGCUCCGUUCGACUAAGUUGUUUGAAAAAAAAUUGAGCGGCAUGCAAAACGAAGCAAACCAUUAGGGCUAGUACUCCAUAUUACUAAUUAUUAAAACUUGGAAAAUGAUUCAUUUGUUUUUUUUAAGAAACUUCAAUGUAUAUAUAUAUUUUUUUAAAAAAUAUAUCGUUUAGUAGUUCGGGAAAUGUGCUAACAAAAAAUGAUAAAGUUGCUUACCCCUACAGCGAAAUCAAAUGGAGCGUAAAAAUGAAGUUAUUUUUGGAACAGAGCUAGUAUCUCCGCUUAAUAAUAAUAAUAAUAAUAAUAAUAAUAAUAAUAAUAAUAAUAAUAAUAAUAAUAAUAAUAAUAAUAAUAAUAAUAAUAAUAAUAAUAAUAAUAAUAAUAAUAAUAAUAAUAAUGUUGACUUUUCACCUAUACAAGCGAUUAUUGUUUAUAGUCAGUUUAGAAGAGGUAGCAGCACUUACCAAUACGUCUAUAAGAAAAUGUCUAGUAAAAACCCGUAAAAAUUAUACAUAAAAGUUCUCUAAAUUUAUGAAAAAAAUUACAUAUAAGCAUAAAAUAUAUUCAUACCAAAUUACAAAUCUGAACUCAACUUCAUUUGAGAGGAAAAAAGAGACAAAGAUUCAGGUGAAUAGCGUUUAAUUACUAUUCACCCGAAAUUUAUCAUUUUUUACUCGCAAAUAAAGUUGGUUUUCAACUUAACAUUUAGUGAAUAUGUAUUUCAUUUUUAUAACUAUCUCUAGAAAUUUUCAUAAAUUUAUAAAACUUUUAGCUCUGGCUUUCAUGAAUUUUCACUUAUUUGAUUUUCACUAGAUAUUGUCGACGUUUGAGGUUACGACUAUGGUAUUUGCAUGGUAUGGAGAUCGUUGGUACCAGGGUAUAUGCGAGAUUGUGGUAAAAGAGAUGGAGACAAGGAUUUUUAUACAAGUUCGGGCCCCUUAUCUGAUAGGUAAUAGCUCUACUCCUAUUGGCUGAAGCCGGUAUUGCUCUUUAUUCUUUUGAAUGACACAAGUACAAUAUUUGGGAUAACCUAUCUAAUCGUCGUUGACGUGGCGGCAUGAACACCAACACGUAGUCGACGAGAGGGUAGUCUUACUACUCGAAUAUGAACUCAUUGAGAUCAGAAAUAGCCCUAGAUCCUUGUUAUCGGCCUCCGCAAGCAACUGAUUGGGUUUGUCUAGGCUAAUAUCUAAUGUCGAUGUCUAACUUGUCUCGGUUUGUGUGUCGAUCUGUGUCUUCUGUCCCUCUCCUCCUAGGGGGGCUUGUAUUUAUACCCAUAGAUGUCUCCUUAUCAAAGUAAAACUAGGGAAACCAAUAUGGAUACAAUCCGAGUAGUCCUUGUCGUUUCCAUAUAGAACUCUACUUGUCCUACCUUAUCUGAAACUCUUUCUAUAUACGAGGUAUGAUUCCGUAUAAGACUUGGCAUAUGGUAGGCCUCAUCGAGCUUAAUUGAUUACUAUUGGGUAUGCGGUAUCCAUAACCAUGACAGAUAUGUCCCCUACUUCUAUAGUAAAGUUGUGGGGCUUUGUUGUCCCUUGAUUUGUGAGGGAAACAACAUUUGCUACACUCGGACACGCGAGGUAGAGUCGUUGUCGUCAAAUUUUAUAAGGAUGUCCCGGUGCUUUGGAGCUCCGUUCCUCCUCUACGAGAAAAAGAGACAGUUCUUCCAGAAUUGGAGAAUGGAGAGACGGAGUUGUGGGGAGGUGCCGAUGGGCAAAGUAUAUGAUGGUUACGAUGGUACACCAAUAGCGGACGCUGGAUUGUGCCACACCGUUGGUAACACUCAAAAGCACAAUGUUCUUGACAUAGGGUUCUCAAACUUGGAGCUCUUGGUUAAAAAAAAUAUUCUGAGAUCAUUCUAAACUUACAUUUAGUCCUUAUGGAGAGUGUACUACAUAUACAUGUUCCCGUGAUAGGGAUUAGGCCCUUUACAGCGCGCCGCUUUGGCUCGCCACGUUGGAGCCGUGGCUCUAACUCAACCAUGUCUCGUCGUGUCUCCAUGGAGACUCCCGAUGCCUUACGGAGGGCAUCAGUGUCCCAAUAGGACUAAGGCAACUCGUGCUCAGGGCACUGCUCUAGUGAGCCACGUCGAGCAUACAUGUGCCCACAUGAGGAUGUUCUACCUACUCAAGUGUAGCUUUGAGCAAUAUUGUAAACUUGUUCUAGAUCUGCUUUUGAUUUGCGCUAGAGAAAAAAAGGAGAGGCGGCGGUUGGAGGGAUUGUUGAUAGAGAGGGGAGAGGAGAGUGGUGGACGGGGGAUGGGAGGGGGCGACACUAAUGGGAAGGUGAUCGCUGAUCACCCCCCAUCUCCCCCUAACACGCUACUCUCCCCCUUCCUCCUCCCCUUCUUCUCUUCCUACAACACCAUAAAUUUUAAAAAAAAUAAAAAAACAAAGUUAGAAAAAAGUUUAUGUAUAGAAAUACUAUAUAUAAAAAUAGUUUGAAUUCAAAUUCAAAUUUGAAUCGGGUAUAUAAUUUUUUGACUUAUAAACUUUGGGUCUAUAAAUUUGAGGUGUAUAAACUUUAAUGUAUAGAAAAUACUAUAUAUAAAAAAUAUUUGAAUUCAAAUUCAAAUCUGAAUUGGGUAUAUAAACUUUUGACUUAUAAACUUGAGGUGUAUAAACUUUAGAUGUAUAGAAAAUACUAUAUAUAAAAAAUAUUUGAAUUCAAAUUCAAAUUUGAAUCGGAUAUAUAAACUUUUGACUUAUAAACUUUGGGUCUCUAAACUUUAGAUGUGUAAACUUGAGGUGUACAAAAUUAGAUGCAUAAAUUUACUAAAAUAGGAAAGUAAUGCGGUGCAAAAAAAGAAAACCACGUGGAGGAGGGCUGAUUGCUCGGGGCGAUCGAUCGCCCAUUAGGAAUCUCGGUAAAUUGGCGGCAUGUAAAAUAAGAUAAACCAUUAGUAUAUAAUUAAUCAAGUGUUAAUUAUUAUAAACUUUAAAAUAUAUUAAUAUGAUUUUUUUAAUAAACUUUCAUGUAUAAUUUUUUCCAUAGAACAUAUCCCUUUGCAUUUUGGGAAGUGUACUAAUGGAACAUGAUGAAGUUGUCGUUUGAAGUUGCUCAAACGAACUCACCUAGGCUCCUUGGAAAGUAGGUUAAAAAACUUAAUAAUAGAAGAAACACAUGAUUUUGAUUGGGAUGGACGUGUAAAAUAGAAAAUUGAAAAAAAAGAAUAACCAUUUAUUUAGACCACAGAAAAACACAUAAUUUGAUGAGAGGGAAAGACUCAAAGAAACUUUCUAUUGAAUUUCGGAGAUUACAUAAGAUUCAUUUCCAAUUACUUGUUUGGAAUGGAUAUUUAUGAAAAAUUCCUAUACGAAGGAAUUAAAGGAGGCCUUCUACUUAUACCCUAAUAAGCCAUGAAAAAUGAAGUGACAAAAAAUAAUUCAUGAGUAAAUAUUAUUAUUUUUUAUUUAACCGCCAAUGUUGAAAAUAUAUUACGGUAAAUAAAUUCUCAAAAUCAAUUCAAAAUUUAAGUUUUAAAAUUAAAAUUCUGUCUGUGCACAGUCUAAAAAUCUGAUUACGAGGCUUACUCUUCACAGUCUAAAAACCAAGGGCGAGUGACCAAAAUGAUGGAAAAUCAUCUAAAUUAAUUCUGAAAUUUAAAUUUGGCUGGCUUAACUCUUGCGUUUAACGUCUCGUGAGAAUAAUCUGAUUGCCACAAGCAUUAUGCCGAAGAUGUGUGACUGAUGCAAUGAGAAUUAUACCCCUAAAUUGGUUCUAGAUUAAGUUUAAUAUUUAAAAUUUACUGUGAGCAGUGCUAGUCAUUACUAAAUCUUAACUCACUUUGCUCCAUUUCUCGCAUCAAAUUGGUUGAUUAAAGUUGGAACUAAACGAACGAAACAAUUUUCUCGAUUGUUUGUAGGAGUAAGAUUUUUCUUGUAUACCACGUUUAUCUAAACCGGCAAAAGUUAAAUAAAGUUGAAAUGUAUUCCAAGAUAGCCGUCAAUGGGGUGAAAACAGUCACGGGAAUUUCCGAGUGUCUGAUGCUCGUUUUUUAUUUUUACCGAACAUAUCAAAAUGGUUACCAACAAGAAAAUGAAAAUGAAAAUGGAACGGUAAAAAAAAGGAAAUGGAAACAUAAACUAUUUCAUAGUUAUACUCAUCGUUUCUGAAUUUAUACCGUAUUCUUACUAAAAUUACCUUUUUACAUUAUGGAUUUAUGGUAUUUCUAAACCUAUCCAUUUCUUUAUUUGACCAUAGUUUAGAAGCCCUUCAACUAAUCAACCAAAUCCUAAGUUGAGUGCUUAGUUGAAAGCUAGGGAUACAAUUUGUAAUUUAUAUAGUACAACCUGAACUUAUUUCGUUAUAUAAUCAUAUAGUUAUGUAAAGCUAAAUGUUUGACUUUUACAUUUCAGGGCUCCUUGGAACACAGGAUUUCGAAAAUGCAGGAAUAGAAUAUCACACACUUCAUAUUCCCGCAUGGUUUCAAAAUAUAGGAAUUUUAGACUUUACUCAUCUGAAUGGCUUUGUAGGAAACAUGAUGGAAAUAAUUUUGUGGAAGAGAGAAACUAGAGAGAAAGGGAGAAGUUCGUAGGACUUCUCAAAGGAAAAUGAAAACAUGAUGUAGGAGGUCAUGUUUGUUUUCAUUUGGGAUAGGGGCAUAGAAAGCAAAUCCAUAUUUUCAAUCAUAUUCCUUUAUUCCAAAGGAGCAAAGGAGCUAAGAGAUUGUUCGGUUUACAUGAUUUCUAAGGGUGUGGCUAAUGGGCGGCCCUGUACACACCUCUCCUCCCUUCUUCCUCCUCUUCUUCUCUUCAUACUACACUAUAAACUUAAAAAAAACAAAAAAACAAAGUUGGAAAAAUUUAUGUAUAGAAAUACUAUAUAUAAAAAAUAUUUGAAUUCAAAUUCAAAUUUGAAAUGGGUAUGUAAACUUUUGACUUAUAAACUUUAGGUCUAUAAACUAAUAUUUAAAUUCAAAUUCAAAUUUGAAUCGGGUAUGUAAACUUUUGAUUUAUAAACUUUCGGUCUAUAAACUUUAGGUGUAUAAACUUUAGAUGUAUAGAAAUGCUAUAUAUAAAAAAUAUUUGAAUUCAAAUUCAAAUUUGAAUCGGGUAUAUAAACUUUUGACUUAUAAACUUUGGGUCUAUAAACUUUAAGUGUAUAAACUUUAGAUGUAUAUAAAUACUAUAUAUAAAAAAAUAUUUGAAUUCAAAUUCAAAUUUGAAUCGGAUAUAUAAACUUUUGACUUGUAAACUUUGGGUCUCUAAACUUUAGAUGUGUAAACUUGAGGUGUACAAACUUUACUUGAAUAAAUUUACUAAAAUAGAAAAAUAAUGCGGUGCCAAAAAAGAAAACCACGUGGAGGAGAGGGGGAGACCAGAUCCGAUCGCCCCUGGCGAUCAAUCGCCCAUCAGGAGUUUCGGAUUUCUAACCAUAGAAAUAGGAAAACGAAACAUACAAAUUGUAUAGGAAUGUAUGUGUAAAAUAGAGAAUAGAAAAGGUAUAGAAUUGAUCCUUUAAAUGGAUGAUAGAAAAAAAACAAAAUGCUUAGUAUUAAAUUAACAUGGCCAAGAUUUGAAUGCUUUAAUCUAUACAACUGGAGAGCAAAAACAUAGACCAAUGAGUGCUUUGCCUCAUCCUACGCUUGGAAAUAGAUAAAAGAGCUCUAAUAGCAAAUUCUUCAGGAAUCAUAGUCAAAGGAAAUUUUCCUAUCAUUUUCCUUUGCUCAAAUCGUACGAACCGAAUGGAUGAAUAGUGAUAGUUCCUACAAGAAUCAUGUUGCUACAUUUUCCCUUCUUAUUUCCUCCAAACUGAAUGAGGCUAAGGACCUAUUCGUUUUGAAGAAAAUUUAAAGGAUUUGGAUUCCUAAGGAUUAAAUUCUAUGAAUGCCAUUCGGUUUAAUAGGAAAAAAAAUCCUAAAGAUUGAAAUCCUUCAAACUUCCUUUGAAAUUCCUUCACUCCAAAUGAGCCUUAAUGUCUUUUUGAUAUUUAUGAUCGGUUUACGAUUGUUACCGAUAUAUUUCCGUGCAUAGUCCAUCUCCAAUUUUCGAUACUUUUUAUUUUCAACUUCACCAUUUUGAUUCUGGUUUUAAGAAAAUUAUGGUUAUGAAAAUAGUUGAGAUGUUUUUCGACCGUUUUCAUGCCUAGCUGCCAAAAUCGUCUAGCUACCAAAAUCGUUCGAACCGGAGGGAAGUACUUUCUCCAUCCUAAAAAGAAUUCAAUUCUAGAUAUAAAUCUGCAUACACUUUAGGACCGAGGGAGUACAGGUUUACAGUUAAAAAUACAUUUUUUAAAGGCGAUGGGAGUAUAUUAUAUCAGCAUUGCAGGAUGAAUCCUCCACCUCCAAAAGAAAACAGGAAGACACUAUCUGCUGAUAGUGAUGGCAGAUAUAUAUAUAUAGGAAGUAGGCUUACUCAAAUCGUCGUGGCCCCUUGAAGCGAGAUCACUUCUUGUCUUACGUGAUUGAUCUUCAAGGACAUGCAUACCCACACUUGACACAACACUUACAAUCACAGUGCAUACAGGGGAAUAAUUAUCUAAGCUUAUGAUCGAAGCUAGAACUGUAUUGGAGACCUCAUUGAACGCCAGCGAUAUCACAGCCGAUAAUAAUCGCAGUGCAAAUGUUUUUUUUUCCAGCUAACUUGCAAACACUCUCGUCGCGCGGGCUUGUUUACAAUUCGAAUUAUACUAAACCUUACUUUUAAACACUCUCGUAUGCUUUAAUUUAGUUCUUUUUGUUAUAUUCUAUUUUUCAGCCUUAGUUUUGAAACUGCUAACAAUAUACUGCACUAAGUAUAAACGUUUUUUUAUCUAUACAAUAGUUUUAAUGCCUCAUCCAUUUUUCUACGAAACCGUAAAUAGUGGUUGACAAAUAGUCAAGAGCGUUGUUACUACCUCUGCUCUUUAAUAUAAGAAAUUCUACUCAUGUUUCCUUGUCCCCAUAAUAUAAUUAGGUUUCCUUUGAAGCAAAGGAAUUAUAGAGGAGUUCCUUAGAGGAAUUUUCUAGGAUUUAAAUUAUAUAGGAAUUUUUCAUAUUUGAUCUUUUGAAACAAAGGAUUGCAGUUCUUCAAAUCCUAUGAAAUUAUUAAGAGCAAGUUUAAUAGUAUAGCCCACUACUAGCUCCAAAUCAUCUAUAGCCAAUGUAAUAACUAAUUCAUAUAAUAGUUGCUUACUAUACUAUUAAUACUUGGUCCCACAUGUCAUACACACAUUACAUCUUGGAGUCCGUGCUGCAGCUGGCUACAGACCUGUAGCCCGCUGCUCUUCUCUCUCUUCCUUUAUCUCUUUAAAAUAUGUUUAUAGCUGGCUUAUAGCCUGCUAUUGUACCUGCUUUAAGGAUUGACUCAUGCAUAUAGAUUUUGGAGAAAAGUUAGCACCAACCUUUUUGAAAAUUUUCUAUGGGUCUAUCUCUCUCAUUCAAUCCCUGCAUUUUUUCUAUGGUCUAUUCAAAUAAUCAUUCGUGUGUUUCGCACUUAUAUUCUGGUGAAAAUCCUAUAAUUUUUAUUCCUCUCUUUUCUUAAUCGUACGAUACAAAGGUUCCCUAAGGCCCCGUUCGACGUAAUGGCGGAUAAAGAUUAAGUACAAGCAAGUAAAAUGAGAAACCAUUAGCACAUGAUUAAUUAAGUUCUAUAAAAAUAAUUAUUAUAAACUUGAAAAUAAAUUUAUUUGAUAUUUUAGAGAAAAUCUAUAUAAAAUUUUUUUUCACAAAAUGUACCGUUUAGCGGUUUGAAAAGAGUGCUAACAAAACCAAGCUAGAAUCUACUCCUUCCAUUCACAAAUGAUAAUCAUAUAAUUUUUUCAAUGUUAUUCAGAAAUGAUUGGCAUAUUCGGUACUUCCUAUGUGUGACUUUUUCGUUUUUCUGUGCACUACUAAAUUAUCAUUUGUAUGCAUUGUUCAAUAUUGUACUAUUCAACCAAAUGCAAUUUUGGUGCAUGCAAGCAAUACUGUUGGUGUAAAUUGCCCUUGAUGCAUGUGCGAGAGACAACAAUCGGUGUUGUAUGUUAAUUGAUGUCAAUUUAAGAGACAUGUGGGGGUGUAUUGGUAAGAAAAGCUAAGAGCAAGUUUAAUAGUAUAGCCAAUUACUAGCUUCAAAUCAUUUAUAGUCAAUUUAGUAGCAAAUUCGUACAAUAGUUAUCUAUAAAUAUAUAUUAAACUAUUAAUAUCUGGUCCCACCUGUCAUACUAACGUUGCGUCUUGGAGUUUGUGUUGUAGCUGGCUACAAAUCUAUAGCCCACUGCUUAUCUCUAUCUUCUUUUAUCUUCUCGAUAUGUGUUUAUAGCUGGCUUAUAGUCUAUUAUUGUACCUGCUCUAAUAACUUUCUCGUAGUAUAUUUACUCCCACAACAAACCUGAUGCAUGCACCAUCCCCACCAUUUUCUAGCAAAUAGUAAAUCAAGGUAUUGCAUGUUGGUUAUAAAUACUUGUGUGCAUGAAUACAUGCAUCAAUGUCCAUUUAAUGCACAAAUAACGAAUAGACUUAGGGCCUGUUUAGAUCAAUUUGUUGUGGCAAUUUUUUUUGGCAAAAGUUUUGGUGGCAAAAGAUUUGGCAUUGAAGUUUUGUUAGUUGGUGUUUAGAUACAUGGUAAAGUUUUGCCAUUUUACUAGUAAAGAUAGAGAGAGCACGGCUCCCAACGUACUUUUUGGCAAAAUUUGCUACUCUAGACUCCUAAAUGAUAAAUGCUAAAUUGCCAACUUUUGCUACUAGGUUUUGAUCCAUUUUGGCAAAAAGUGCUCAAAAACAGCAAAACUUUUGCUCUUUUGGAGGAACUAAACAGAGCCUUAAUGAAUGACCAUAAAAUAAAUAUGAUGAUUAUUUAGAAAUAACCUCAAAAAUGUUAUAAGAUGAUCAUUUUGAAAGAGAGGGAGUCUCCCGGUCUCCUUCGCGCAAGUGAAAAUAAAAACUUUGGAUGGAAAUGGUUUAAAUAUGACAUGGUGAAAUGUAAGGACAUAUUAAUGGUUGAAAUAUAUAUAAAAAUAUGUACUACGUUCGAGUAUUUUGUAGUGCACUCUAAAAUAUUUGCGACUGUUGGCUUCUUUCUCAUUCUCUUCCGGAGCAGCGCUCACUUGCUUGUUCAUUAAUGCGCAAUCUUUCCGUAGGUGGAACAAGUCAACUGAAAAUAACUGCUAGUACAACGUGAGUAGUACAUCUUACCUGUGAAUGCUCCAGGCUUUACUCGGGCUGUGCGCGCUAGCGGAUGUUCCCAACCGGAACAGAGUGCAAAAAAACAGAGCGGUCUAUUAGCACGUGAUUAAUUAAGUGUUAGCUAAUUUCUUUUAAAAAAUAAAUUAAUUUGAUUUUUUAAGCAACUUUUGUAUAGAAACAUACAAAAGUUUUUGAAAAAAACGCACCGUUUAAUAGUUUGAAAAGCGUGCGUGUGAAAAACGAGAGAGAUGUGUUGGGAAAAGGGGAUGCCGAACAAACCCUCAAAAACGAUAUUUGAUUAUACUUUUACUAUAAUAUAUAUACUUGAUAUUUAAUUUGUUACUAUUUAGUAUAAUAUAGUUAAUAUUUAAUUUGUUACGAUAAUUUUUCUAAAACACAGUUCAAACACAUAUACACACUUUUUAUUUCCAAUAGCACUUCUGAAUUGGGUUGUGUAUAUUCAUUGUGGAUAUAGAGACUGGAUUUUAAUCCAUUUUCUUAAAAAAAAGCACUUCUAAAAGACGAGUUGGCAUAUUUUAAAAUUAACGAAGUCAUUUUGGACACAUCGUUGUCGAUAAUUGUCAGUUAUCAUUGAAAUAAUAAUUAGUCACAAAUACGAGCCUCAUUUCAAGUCGGAACACACCCAUAAAUACAUGAAGCAGCUCCUUUGAAGCGAGGUUAGAGAAAGUAACGUGAAUCCUUGACAGGUGGGGUCCACUCCUAUGGAUCCACAAGUAAGAGAGGCACAUCCAUCUAAGAGCAAGUUUAAUAGUAUAGCCAAUUAUUAGCUCAAAAUUAUCUAUAAUCAAUUUAAUAGCCAAUUCAUAUAAUAGUUACCUAUAAACAUGUACUACAAAAUUAAUGUAUGGUCGCACCUGUCAUACACACAUGUAUCUUGCAGUCUGUGCUGAAGCUGGCUACAAAUAUGUAGCUCGUUGCUCUUAUCUCCCAUCUUUUAUCUGCUUAAAAUAUGCUGUUGACCUGUUGUACAUGCUCUAACGUACUUUAGAGGAGCCCCAUCGCGGAAGUACAGGUUCCCAACUUUUACUCUCACAUUUUUUACGUGCAUACUUCCCAAGUUGUUAAAUUGUGUGUUUUAUACCAAAAUUUUCCAUAGAAAAAAUGCUUUAAAAUUUAUAUUAAUCUUUUUUGUGUUUUUAUAGCAAAUACUUAAUUAAUCAUGUACUAACCGAAAAUUUCCUCUGAGUUUCAUCGCUCUUAAAUUUCUGUGUUUUUACUGCGAUAUAAUCAAAUGGGCAUUUCUAUUCCUUUAUUUUCUCAAUCUCAAGUUUUUAAGGAGCAUGUGACAUGAUUGGUGAGAUCCUAUAAAAUGGUAGUAUUAUUUAUGCACCUGGAUUCUAAAAGGAAAAUAAUUAAAACAUAGGAGUUUCCCCUUUGAGAAGUCUAAUCCACUCUUUCAUCCCCUCUCUACUUCCUUUGUUUUCCUCGAGUAACUUCCAGUCAUGUGCUUUGAUUUGCUUGGAAUCGUCCAAAGACAUUACCUCAAUUUUUCUUAUGUUUUAAAAUCCUGUGUAUUCUAAAGAGAAUGAUGUUCGUUUAGGGCUAUUGAAAAAAAGAGGAAAAAUAUAGGAUUUUAACCGCUACUACAAGAGCAAAACAAUGAGUUUCAAAACCUGACAAAUCACAUAGAAAUGAUAGUUUGAUUAGACUGUAGAAAAAAAAACAUAGAAAUAAAAUGAGAUAGACUUGAAGAAAUUUUCUAAGAGAAUGGUUAGGCUCACUUUUCAAUAAAUUCUUUAAAAAUGCGCAUUCCAAAGGGAACAACAUGUUUCAGUCAUUUAUUUUGAAGACCUUAAUAGGAAUUUUUCUAAUAAAAUUAAAAUCCUCCGAUUUUUCUAUAAAUCGAAGAAGACCUUCCUUUAAAAAAACCUUAAUAUAUGCUUUUUAGUACGAGUACUCCCUCCAUACUCGUAUUAGAAGUCGUUUAGAACAAUGUUUAAGUCAAACCUUAGAAAUAUAUAUCAUGAAUAACUCUCGAGUUCUUGAAUUUGAAAAUGUAAAAAUUAUAUUAAUAUACAUAUAUCAUUUUUCAAUAAAUAUUUUUAUAGAAACCAAAAGUCAAAAUUAUGUUUUGGAGACCACGUCGCUGUGCAAAACGAUUUUAUGAGUACAGAGGGAAUAUUCCUGUAUUUCCUUUUACAAUUAUGGAGUACGUUUCGAAACAAGUGGGCCAUCUCAAACGAAACUGGUCGUAUGUGCACAUCACCCCAAAACCCUCAGAAAAUUUGCGCACCGCCCACUCCACCAGUCCACUCCCGGCCCAAGAAAGCCAUGCUCAGGCCAGUGUGCUCAAGAAAGGGGCGCGCAGCGAGCUCGCGACUACUCACUCUCAAUCCUUUGGGAAAUGGAGCUGCUCAGUGGCUCAGUGGCCGCAGCUCCGGGAAGCGGAGGCUACCGAGAGCAACCGGACCACGCCAAGAAGCACUAGCUAGUGUACUGCCUCCUCGAUCUUGCUCUAUCUACCACUAGCAUCGAGCUUGCUUCGCUAGCUCCUGUAUAUUUAAGGCCGUAAUAAGUGUAAACACAGCACCAAUAGUCCAACACAGAUACUAGUAGUAGUGUGGUAAAAGGGUGAACUGAAGACCAAGAGGCAAAGGCGCCUGUGAGGCUGUGACUGAGAAGGUAGGAGUAGGAGAAGAGAAGCUUUGGGCGCCGCCAUGGAUGCAUACGAGGCGACCAAGGUGGUGUUCUCCCGGAUCCAGGCGCUGGACCCUGACCACGCCGCCAAGAUCAUGGGCCUCCUGCUCAUCCAGGACCACGGCGACAAGGAGAUGAUACGCCUCGCCUUCGGCCCCGAGGCGCUGCUCCACAGCGUCAUGGCGCAGGCGCGCAAGGAGCUCGCCCUCCUGCCGCCGCCUCAGGCGGCGUCGUCGUCGCCCACCGUGCCGGCAGCCCACUCGCCGUUCCUGCUGUCGAGGCAGAACUCCGGCCGCUGCCCCGCGCCGUCGCCGUCGUCGUGGGCGCAGGCGCAGCCGUUCUCGAGGAGUAACAGCAUGGGCAAUGGCGGCGCCGCGGAUGAGAUGGUCGGCGCUGGGGAGGAGCUAAUGAGCCCCUUGAACGGCGGGGGAGGCGCCGCGGCGAACGCCCCGCCCUUCUUUCCUCGGGGUGGGGACGCGCUCCUGGACGACUUCGAGCUGCAGGAGCAGCUCGCGUUCCUGCACGACGGAGCCGGGGGCGUGAACCCCGGGCAUGCUCUCCAGGCGUUCGACGGAGCGGAGUGCCGGAGCCCCGGCCCCGGCGAGAGCGGCGGGAUGCUCCCCUACGGCCUCGCCUGGGCCAACGGCGGCCCUGGGCACCGCCGCAGCGCGUCGGUGAACGAGCUCUGCCUCGGCGGCGACGGCUUCGGGUGGAAACCUUGCCUGUACUACGCGCGCGGGUUCUGCAAGAACGGCAGCACCUGCAGGUUCGUCCAUGGCGGCCUCUCCGACGACGCCGCCAUGGACGCAACCACCGCCGAACAGCAGCAGUGCCAGGAUUUCCUCCUCCGCUCCAAGAGCCAGCGCCUCGGCCCCGCCGCCUUCCCGUUCACCCCCACAGGCUCUCUCCCUGCCUCGCCAUCCGCCACCAGCAAGUGCCUCAGCCUCCUCCUGCAGCAGCAGCAGCAGCACAACGACAACCAAAGGUACUACCGCCUUCGCAACCUCCAUGCGUUCUCCAAGCCAGAAGGCAUUUCAAAGUUCCAAAACGUUUCUUGCUUGCGCGUGUGAAGAGCCGCCGCGGCCGCGCUGAUGCUCGCCGGCGGCGACGAGGCGCACAAGUUCAUGGGGCGGCCGCGCCUGGACCGCGUCGAUUUCGCCAGCAUGAUGAACCCCGGGUCGCGCCAGAUUUACCUCACCUUCCCGGCCGACAGCACGUUCCGCGAGGAGGACGUCUCCAACUACUUCAGGUAUAUAAUGCGAUGUUGCAAUGAUGCUUCUUCCUUCUUUCAUGGCGGGCUCGGUAGGACGCGAUCUGAUUGGCAUUUUUGCAUUGCUGUUCUUGGCAACGCGCCGCGCUGC
rnacentral:lncRNA from 1 species